CCUUAGUGAUAGGCUCUCUUAUUUUCAAGCUUAACCUACAUAGAAGAGCUUAAGCUGAAUAUAGAGUCAAAUAGCCAACAGUUUACUGCAUAGAAAAGCUUAAGCUAAAAAAUAUUAACAUUUAAAAAAUGACAAACUUACCUAUUAUGCAAAAGUCGAAGCCAUUGUGUCUGUAAGAUAAACUAAACCUGGUCUCUAGGUAAAGAAAAGAAAAAAUGAAGCAAAUCUGUCAAUCACUCACAAAUAAGAUAAGACUUAAGAUCUACCAUAAUAAGCAUACACAUUGUCUCAAUAGUUAGCAAAGGUAACAAAGUUAAUACUAUGUUUUUCUUUUUUGAAGGAAAGUUAAUACUAUGUUAUAAACUACUAAUUCAUGUCAUUAGAUCAAACGGAGUUAGCAAGGUAACAAAGUUAAUACUAUGUUAUAAACUACUAAUUCAUGUCAUUAGAUCAAAUGUUGGAAUAUGGCCGCCUAAUCAUAUCAAGAAAAACAUCCCACGCACACUACAAUCUCAAUGUCAGUCUUGUCACAAAGUAUUUAUCAUCCCACUUCAAUCAUCAUCUUCCUCCUACACCAAAUUGAACAAAAAUACUCUAGUCAACAUGAUUGAACAAUGCAAAAUUCUCAAGGAUUGAAAAGAGAAUUGAAUACUGUUCGGUAUAUAGACAACAAACCUCGCCAUUGUCUUCCUCAUCUUCGUCAUUUACUUCUGACUUUGACUUGUCAGAAUCAUCAUCAGCACCUCCAGCCUAUUAAAAUGUUCAAAAGACACUUUAGUAUACUGUAGUUGGCCAAUGUAAACCCCAUUAUAUGGUUGAAAUAUACUAAUAAUAAAAAUAUAUAUAUAUAUGAAUAUAUAGCACACGUUAUGCAGUAGUAACUCGUGAUGAUAAAUCACAAUUCACAACUGAGAGUGGUAUAAUAUUUAUUUUCCCUUUGACCAACAAGGGCAAAUUCAUUGCAUUAUAAACUUCUUUACUGUUUCAUAUUUAAACUUAACACGCA
rnacentral:lncRNA from 1 species